rnacentral:rRNA from 1 species
AGGACGAACGCUGGCGGCGUGCUUAACACAUGCAAGUCGAGCGGUAAGGCCUUUCGGGGUACACGAGCGGCGAACGGGUGAGUAACACGUGGGUGAUCUGCCCUGCACUUCGGGAUAAGCCUGGGAAACUGGGUCUAAUACCGGAUAUGACCUCAGGUUGCAUGACUUGGGGUGGAAAGAUUUAUCGGUGCAGGAUGGGCCCGCGGCCUAUCAGCUUGUUGGUGGGGUAAUGGCCUACCAAGGCGACGACGGGUAGCCGACCUGAGAGGGUGACCGGCCACACUGGGACUGAGACACGGCCCAGACUCCUACGGGAGGCAGCAGUGGGGAAUAUUGCACAAUGGGCGAAAGCCUGAUGCAGCGACGCCGCGUGAGGGAUGACGGCCUCGGGUUGUAACCGUCUUCAGCAGGACGAAGCGCAAGUGACGGUACCUGCAGAAGAAGACGACCGGCUAACUACGUGCCAGCAGCCGC